GGGCGUGGCCUGGCCGGUAGGGGGCGGGGCGGCGGAGCGGGCGCUGCCAUGGACGCGCUGAGCCGGGCCCGGCCCCGGCCCCGCUCCGCCGCCGCCGCCGCCGCCUCGCCGCUGCCCUGGGCCCGCUUCUCCGCCUGGCUCGAGUGCGUGUGCGUCGUCACCUUCGACCUGGAGCUGGGACAGGCCAUGGAGCUGGUGUACCCCUAUGACUUCCGACUGACAGAGAAAGAGAAGACCAGUAUCUGCUACUUGUCCUUCCCGGACUCCUACUCAGGUGGCCUGGGGGACACCCAGUUUAGCUUCCGCCUUCGCCAGUCGGGGGGACAGAGGACCGCUCAUUACGAGGAUGAUGGCGAGUACAACAGAGAAGCACCCCUCACCCUGCAGAGGGAGUCGGCUCAUUACUUCGGUUACGUAUACUUCAGGCAAGUCAAGGACAGCUCGAUGAAGAGAGGUUAUUUUCAGAAGUCUCUGGUGCUGGUGUCACGCCUUCCGUAUGUGAACUUGUUCCAGUCAUUGCUGCAGCUGAUUGCUCCAGAAUACUUUGACAAGCUGGAGCCAUGCCUGGAGGCAGUGUGCAAUGAGAUUGAUCAGUGGCCGCCCCCUGUGCCAGGACAGACUCUGAACCUUCCAGUGAUGGGAGUUGUCAUUCAGGUGAGGAUCCCAUCCAGGGUGGAUAAGCCAGGAACAAGUCCAGUGAAGCAGUUCAAUCAAGAGAAUCUCUUGCCAGCCCCAAUGGUUCUGCCAAGCAUUCAUGAACUGGACCUCUUCAGGUGUUUCCAGCCAGUGCUAAUUCAUAUCCAGAUGUUAUGGGAACUGGUGUUACUGGGAGAGCCAAUUGUUGUAAUGGCACCAUCCCCUACAGUUUCUUCAGAGAUGGUUAUGGCUCUUACCAGCUGUCUUGCCCCUCUGAGGUACUGUUGUGACUACCGGCCCUAUUUUACCAUCCACGACAGUGAAUUUAAGGAGUACACCACCAGGACUCAAGCUCCGCCAAACAUCGUCGUGGGAGUCACAAACCCCUUCUUCAUCAAAACACUCCAGCACUGGCCACACAUCCUUCGGGUCGGGGAGCUCAGAAUGUCAGGAGACCUGCCCAAGCAAGUUAAGGUGAAGAAGCUAACUAAACUAAAAACUCUAGACACAAAACCAGGAAUCUACACUUCUUAUAAAACAUUUCUUCACAAAGAUAAAACUCUGAUAAAAAGAUUACUAAAGGGGAUUCAGCGAAAACGCCCGUCUGAAGUCCAGAGUGCUCUUCUGAGGCGUCACCUCCUGGAGCUCACCCAGAGCUUCAUUAUUCCCCUGGAGCACUACAUCGCAAGUCUGAUGCCCCUGCAGAGAGCCAUUACUCCAUGGAAAAAUCCUCCACAAAUUCGCCCUUUCCGACAAGAUGAUUUCAUGAAGACCCUUGAGCAUGCUGGCCCCCAACUUACCUGUGUACUUAAGGGUGACUGGUUAGGCCUCUACAGGCGUUUCUUCAAGUCUCCCAACUUUGAUGGCUGGUACCGGCAGAGGCAUAAGGAAAUGACCCAGAAGCUGGAAGCCCUUCAUUUGGAGGCAAUCUGUGAAGCGGUAUGUCCCAGCUGCAGAACAUCGUGGCCUGGAUGAAGGACAAGUCCGAGGUGGAGAUUGUAGACCUGGUGCUAAAACUUCGGGAGAAGCUGGUAAGAGCCAGGUGCCAGCACCUUCCUGUGAAGGAGGAGACUCUGCAGCGGGUGGGCCUUUAUAUUGACACCGUCAUCAACUCCUUGCCAGAGGACCUCCAGGCAGUGCUGCACCACCACUGAGCACGGCGAAGGGACUGUUGGAGAAGGAAGGGCCCUCCCGUGCUGCGGGCAGCUGCACUUGCACUUGGAAAGGAAAAUUCCUCCCUGAUCCAGCCCACGUCGCCAGAUCUGGACCUUGCUCGCAAACCUGUCUGAUUUCGAGCACGUGGAUCAGAGCUGUGGCAGCAGUGGGGAACUGUGUGCACCAUUCUGUCUAAUCCUGCCUCGUGGAGCUGGAUUUAGGGGCCUGCAGAUGAAAAACUGUUCCCUGUGUGGCUGGUAGUAGGUCAGAAAGCGACAGUCAGGCUUUCAGCAGCAUGCUGAUAGGCUGUGCAGAACAUGUUUUUAUAUGCCCAUAUAUACACAUCCAGCUUUGCCUAGGGCUUGGGCUCUCGAAAUUUCAGUGCCGUCAUCCAGCCUGGGAGAAGCAGGACCAGCCCUGUAUGGGGGAGUUGUUUGCAGGACAGCUCCUGCGGAUAAUGAGAGAUGCUCGUCCCCCACGUGUAAAUGACGUGGAAAAAAAAACCUUGCUGCCCAUUCAGCAGCCUGACGCACGCCAGCAAGAGCUGUGAUAGGAGUGGGAGGCUGAACUGCUGGACGUGCAACGCUGCUGCUUUUUUGAAGGUCUGGUGCAUCUGCAAGGAACAGAGCUCUCUGGAGGUGGUGGAUGUGUGCUGUGUGAAUGGGAUAGCUGCUGCAGCUCCACCGAGAGGAGCUGGCCUCCAAACGUUAAUUUAUUCUGCUUGGAAGCGUCACGGUUGUGUGCUGCGGUAAGGUACGAGUGCUGGAGCUCUGCCUUGAACACAGCUUUAUCUGAUGCGGUCAGCCCACUUGCUGAUAAAACCUGGUGGAGAAUCUGAUCUUCACAGCCUGUGGCACCCUUGCCAAGUGGAAGCUCGUGGAGCAGUGCUCGUGUGAGCGUGCAGGGCUGGCUGUGAGAAGCGUGUGCCUGCCCUGUGCUUAGGGCAGGUGAGGAGCAUCCUCCUUGGCUGUGUCUGUUCUUGCUUCAGCCCAGCUUCCAGCUCGGUCAUUCUGUUCGCUUUCACCUCCUGGGGAAGAGAGACACAGGCACGUGCUUUUGGGUUGAAUACAGGAAAGCUUUGAGGCUCCUCUGCGAGUUCUGGAGGUAGUUGCCCCCUGCCUGCGAGCGCAGCCUUUCUGCCAGCUACCUUGGAAAUGGAUUUACCGUAACCCCAGGGCGGUCCCAUUUUUGCUGCUGCUGCAAUUGCAUUUCACCAUCUGCCAGUUUGGCCAGUGCCUGAAUGUUUGCCUAAGGAAUGGGUUUUAGGAUGGGUCUGGCAGCCUGAAGCACUCGUGUUGUGUAGGAGGCUCUGGAGCACACCUUUCCACACCGUAGGGGCAUCCAGCACUUCAGCUGAGACCUGCCCCAAACUGCCACAGGACCCUGCAGGCAGUGCCGAGUGCUUAUGGGGAAGAAUCUGGGGUUUUUGUUCCACGAGCAAUCCCUGCCCAUUGCUGCACUGCCUCCUAGCCCAAAUUCAGGGUUGGGGAGCUAUCAGUAGGUCCUGGAGGUGACUGAAUCCUUCCUGCAUUUCCCCACUGCGGAGCACGGCGUGGGCAGUGCAGGAUCAGUGGCAGCUGCUCCUUUUCCUGCCUGGAGCAUCCAAACGAGGAGCCUCGGCCGUGCUGCCCCCCGGUACCGGGCUCCUGUACGGUCCUGGUGGCAGCCCUGCUGUACAGUGUACAUCCUGGACAUAGGUUGUGCGUGUGUCUGUGCGAUAGCUCUGCAGUGACUGUGGUGGACCGAAGCACUAAUGUAUAGUAGGAAAUAAUAAAUAAUAGUAAAAAAACAAAACCAAACCCUA